rnacentral:rRNA from 1 species
CCCUUAGACGCUCUAGGCGGCACGCGCGCUACAAUGGGUGGUAGAACGUGUAACUGCUCCCGAAAGGGAGGGUGAACCACGAAUACUUACCCGUGAAUGGGAUAGUUUGUUGCAAUUUUCGGACUUGAACUAGGAAUCCCUUGUAAGAAUGCUCAAGAAUAGCGUGCUGAAUACGUCCCUGCCGUUUGUACACACCGCCCGUCGUUUCUUCCGACUGAUACUCAUUGUGAGUUGCAAGGAUUCUUAUUGAAAAAUUGCUGCGAAUGCUUUGUACUGGAGGAAGAAAAAGUCGUAACA